rnacentral:lncRNA from 1 species
AUGUCCUCUGCCCCCUGUCCUCCUCUCCAAGUCCCCUUCCCUGUGUCUGCUGCCCCGUGCCCCUUCCCCACAUGCCCUGCCCUAUGUCUCCAGACCCACAUCGCCUGCAGUGUCCUCUUCCCCACGUCCUCUUCUUCCUGUCCCCCUCCUUAUGUCUGCUGCCCUGUCCCACAUCCCCUUCCCCAUGUCCCCUGCAGUGUCCAUUUCCCCACAUCCUCUUCUCCGAGUCUUCUGCCCCACUUUCCCAUAUUCCCUUCCCUAUGUCUGCUGCUGUCUCCGGUCCCAUGUCCCCUGCCCCAUAUCCCCUGCCAGUGUCCUCUUCCCCACGUACCCUUCCCUGUGUCUUCUGUCCUAUGUCUCCAGCUCCCAGCCCCAUGUACCCUGCCCCAUACCCCUUUCCCUAUGUCUCCAGCCCCAGGUCCCCUGCCCCACAUCCCCUUCCCUACAUCUCUAGCCCCAAGUCCCCAGCUCCACAUCCCCUCUUCUAUGGCUCCAGCCCCACUUCCCUGCCCAAUAUCCCCUUCUUUCUGUCUCCAGCCCCAUAUCCCCUUCCCUAUGGCUGCUGCCAUGUGUCACCAGACCUCUGCCCCACAUCCCCUCUAUGUCUCCAGUCCCACAUCCCCUGCCCUACAUCCCCUUCUCCAUUUCUCUAGCCCCAAGUCCCCAAGCCUGAUAUCCCCUCUUCUAUGGCUCCAGCCCCACUUCCUUGCCCCAUAUCCCUUUCCCUAUGUCCCCUGCCCUAUGUCCCCACCUCUAUAUCUCCAGCCUCACAUUCCCUGCCCCCUAUUCCCUUCCCUAUGGCUGCUGCCCUGUGUUUCCAGCCCCCUGCCCCACAUCCCCUCUAUACCUCCAGCCCCAAGUGCCCAGCCCCAUAUCCCCUCUUCUAUGGCUCCAGUCCCACUUCACUGCCCCAUAUCCCCACCCCUAUGUCUCCUGCCCUAUAUCCUGAUCCCUAUAUCUCCAGCCCCAUAUCCCCACCUCAAUAUCUCCAGCUCCACAUUCCCUGCCCCAUAUUCCCUUCCCUAUGGCUGCUGCCCUGUGUCUCCAGCCCCCUGA